AUUGAACGCUGGCGGCAGGCCUAACACAUGCAAGUCGAACGAGUGGCGGACGGGUGAGUAAUGUCUGGGAAACUGCCUGAUGGAGGGGGAUAAGUACUGGAAACGGUAGCUAAUACCGCAUACCAUCAGAUGUGCCCAGAUGGGAUUAGCUUGUUGGUGGGGUAACGGCUCACCAAGGCGACGAUCCCUAGCUGGUCUGAGAGGAUGACGGUCCACACUGGAACUGAGAGACGGUCACGACUCCUACGGGAGGCAGCAGUGGGGAUUAUUGGACAAGGGGCGCAAGCCUGAUGCAGCCAUGCCGCGUGUAUGAAGAGGGUCUUCGGGUUGUAAAGUACUUUCAGCGGGGAGGCGUUACCCGCAGAGGAAGCACCGGCUAACUCCGUGCCAGCCGCCGCGGUAAUAC
rnacentral:rRNA from 1 species